rnacentral:misc_RNA from 1 species
AUUACCUCCCUAUUUCAUUGAAUCUUGGAUAUAUUCGUCUGCCCUCAGCGUCGUGGACCAGGCGGACGAAUGGGCUAAGAAACUCACAUUAGAGAAGGCUGCGCUAUCAUGGUUUGGUGCAGCGAAAGCUGAACUGCUCGAGCUUGCUCGAAAUCAGCUUGACGUCCUCGGCAUCGCGGCAGGCUUCCUCCCGCAUAAAUCCCCAUUCUCUCUUACAUUG